rnacentral:rRNA from 1 species
UGGGGAAUUUUGGACAAUGGGCGAAAGCCUGAUCCAGCAAUGCCGCGUGUGUGAAGAAGGCCUUCGGGUUGUAAAGCACUUUUGUCCGGAAAGAAAUCCUUGGCUCUAAUACAGUCGGGGGAUGACGGUACCGGAAGAAUAAGCACCGGCUAACUACGUGCCAGCAGCCGCGGUAAUACGUAGGGUGCAAGCGUUAAUCGGAAUUACUGGGCGUAAAGCGUGCGCAGGCGGUUUGCUAAGACCGAUGUGAAAUCCCCGGGCUCAACCUGGGAACUGCAUUGGUGACUGGCAGGCUAGAGUAUGGCAGAGGGGGGUAGAAUUCCACGUGUAGCAGUGAAAUGCGUAGAGAUGUGGAGGAAUACCGAUGGCGAAGGCAGCCCCCCUGGGCCAAUACUGACGCUCAUGCACGAAAGCGUGGGGAGCAAACAGGAUUAGAUACCCUGGUAGUCCACGCCCUAAAACGAUGUCAACUAGUUGUUGGGGAUUCAUUUCCUUAGUAACGUAGCUAACGCGUGAAGUUGACCGCCUGGGGAGUACGGUCGCAAGAUUAAAACUCAAAGGAAUUGACGGGGUCAUAGCUGUUUCCU